AUGCUCGCUUCAGUAGCACAUAUACUAAAAAUGGAACGGUACAGAGAAGAUUAGCAUGGCCCUUGCGCAAGGAUGACACGCAAAUUGGUGAAGCGUUAAAAAAAUAU
ensembl:snRNA U6 U6 spliceosomal RNA